AAGUCGUAACAAGGUCUCCGUAGGUGAGUAGUAUCCCCGUUGCGAUGCGCCAUUAUUCUCUUCACCAUAUGCUAACCGUUUUCCAGGUGAACCUGCGGAGGGAUCAUUACCAAAGAUGGCGGGCCCCCGCGCCCCCGUCCCCAACCCAAUGUUGACCAAAACCUUUUUGCCUCGGGGGCAGAGCGUCCGCCGCCGCCCCCGGAGGACCACCGAACGCUGUCUCUUUACGUCAGAGUAAUCGAUUGAAUGAAUGAAAACUUUCAACAACGGAUCUCUUGGUUCUG
rnacentral:misc_RNA from 1 species